AUGCAUUUUUUGAACCAAGGUUUUUGGCAGUUCCUCCAGUGUAUGACACUUCAGGAACUACUUCAGCUAGAAUAUUUCUGUUUGUAAUAUUUACAAUUAUGGCAAGCUGUUGGCUCCACUAUCAUCAAAUUAUGCAUCCCCAAACUAAUCAUGUUGCCAGUUAUAACUUAAUUCACAUAUCAUGCAUCCUUCUACAUAAAGUUUAGGCUCUGACA
rnacentral:misc_RNA from 1 species